AUUGAACGCUGGCGGCAGGCCUAACACAUGCAAGUCGAGCGGCUCGGCGGUCGCGUAAGUAUUGCCUAGGACUUUGCCUGGUCGUGGGGGAGAACGACCGCUACAGGGCGCUAAUGCUGAAUACUCUCAGAUUCGCCUAGGGCGGAUUAGCUUGUGGGUGGGGUAAAGGCGUACCAAGGCGACGAUCCGUAGCUGGUCUUAGAGGAUGAUCAGUCACAAUGGAACUGAGACACGGGCCAGACUCCUACGGGAGGCAGCAGUGGGGAAGAUUGGACAAUGGGCGAAAGCCUGAUCCAGCCAUGCCGCGUGUGUGAAGAAGGUCUUCGGAUUGUAAAGCACUUUAAGUUGGGAGGCGUUACCAACAGAAUAAGCACCGGCUAACUUCGUGCCAGCAGCCGCGGUAAUAC
rnacentral:rRNA from 1 species